rnacentral:lncRNA from 1 species
AAUUACCCUUCGGAUAUUUUGUUAAUUUAUACUUGGCUCCAUUUACUUUGGUAAGUCUCAGACUGCCCAUGAAGUUACAUUUUUUGUUCCAAAUUAGCCCUUCCAUCCAUCUCUCCACCAACACUUUUGGCAAUCAUGUUCAAAUGACCAUAGUACCUUAAUAUUGUCAUCCUCACCUCGUCCCUCCCAGAUUGCCAUCCUCACUCUUGCCCAUAGCUCCACC